rnacentral:lncRNA from 1 species
CAGAAAGUGCCAUAGAAAGGGGAGUUCAGUGAGAAGUGGAAGUCUAAGGAGGCUGGAAGUGACUCUUUGCUCAGCAAAAACUGCCUUAGCAGGAGAAAAAUGGCAGUGUGCAAGAUGGGGAAAGGAUGGGGUCACACAAAGAAAAAGAGCUAGAGUUGACCUCUUUUCCACUCUGGGAAUGAGAUGUAAGCUAGGAGGCAAGCCUGAGGCUGAGACUCCACCAGGGAUGGCAGAAUCUUCUGAAGAAUUGGAAGUGGUGGCCAGGGCAGAGGUCAAGGUCUUGACGGAGGCCAUUGUUGAGGUGAAUGAAAAAGAGACCAAGUGA